rnacentral:rRNA from 1 species
UACGAAGGGGGCUAGCGUUACUCGGAAUUACUGGGCGUAAAGCGUGCGUAGGUGGUUUGUUAAGUCUGCUGUGAAAGCCCCGGGCUCAACCUGGGAAUGGCAGUGGAUACUGGCAAGCUAGAGUGCGGUAGAGGGGUGUGGAAUUCCCGGUGUAGCGGUGAAAUGCGUAGAGAUCGGGAGGAACACCAGUGGCGAAGGUGGCACCCUGGACCAGCACUGACACUGAGGCACGAAAGCGUGGGGAGCAAACAGG